rnacentral:rRNA from 1 species
AGAACGAACGCUGGCGGCAUGCCUAACACAUGCAAGUCGAACGCUCUUGGUUUCGGCCAAGGGAGUGGCGCACGGGUGAGUAACGCGUGGGAACCUGCCCUGGAGUGGGGGAUAACCGAGGGAAACCUCGGCUAAUACCGCAUACGACCUGAGGGUGAAAGAUUUAUCGCUCUAGGAGGGGCCCGCGUCGGAUUAGCUAGUUGGUGAGGUAACGGCCCACCAAGGCUAUGAUCCGUAGCUGGUCUGAGAGGAUGAUCAGCCACACUGGGACUGAGACACGGCCCAGACUCCUACGGGAGGCAGCAGUGGGGAAUAUUGGACAAUGGGCGCAAGCCUGAUCCAGCAAUGCCGCGUGAGUGAUGAAGGCCUUAGGGUUGUAAAGCUCUUUCACACGCGACGAUGAUGACGGUAGCGUGAGAAGAGCCCCGGCUAACUCGCGCCAGCAGCCGC